CUACAUGAAGCUGGAGUUACUAGUAAUCGCAGAUCAGAAUGCUGCGGUGAAUGCGUUCCCGGGUCUUGUACACACCGCCCGUCACACCACGGGAGUUGGAGACGCCCGAAGCCGAUUAUCUAACCUUUUGGAAGAAGUCGUCGAAGGGGGAAUCAAUAACUGGGGUGAAGUCGUAACAAGGUAGCCGUAUCGGAAGGUGCGGCUGGAUCACCUCCUUUCUAAGGAGA
rnacentral:rRNA from 1 species